CCCUUAGAUGUUCUGGGCCGCACGCGUGCUACACUGAACGGUUCAAUGGGUAAGGUAGUGCGAAAGCAUGACCUAAUCUCGAAAUCCGUUCGUGCUGGGGAUAGAAGCUUGCAAUUAUCCUUCUUGAACGAGGAAUACCUUGUAAGCGUGAGUCAUCAUCUCACGCUGAAUACGUCCCUGCCCUUUGUACACACCGCCCGUCGCUACUACUGAUUGGACGUUUAAGCAAGAUUUUUAAACACUGACAGUGUGUAGUUCACGCUAUACUACAGUGAGAAGAAGAAGAUCGAGCUUACUUGUCUAGAGGAAGUAAAAGUCGUAACA
rnacentral:rRNA from 1 species